rnacentral:rRNA from 1 species
CAGCCCCUCGAGUGGUGGGGAUGAUUAUUUGGCCUAAAGCGUCCGUAGCCGGCCGAGCAAGUCUUCCGUUAAAUCCAGCGUCUCAAGCGUUGGACCGCGGGAGAUACUACACGGCUAGAGAGUGGGAGAGGUCAGCGGUAUUCUGGGGGUAGGGGCGAAAUCCUUUGAUCCCCGGAGGACCACCAGUGGCGAAGGCUGCUGACUAGAACACGUCUGACGGUCAGGGACGAAAGCUGGGGUAGCGAACCGGAUUAGAUACCCGAGUAGUCC